rnacentral:rRNA from 1 species
GUCCACGCCCUAAACGAUGUCAACUAUGUGUUGGGUGGGUAAAACCAUUUAGUACCGGAGCUAACGCGUGAAGUUGACCGCCUGGGGAGUACGGCCGCAAGGUUAAAACUCAAAGGAAUUGACUGGGACCCGCACAAGCGGUGGAUGAUGUGGAUUAAUUCGAUGCAACGCUAAAAACCUUCCUACCCUUGACAUGUCCAGAAGCUCUUAGAGAUUUGAGUGUGCCCGAAAGGGAGCUGGAACACAGGUGCUGCAUGGCUGUCGU